rnacentral:rRNA from 1 species
AUGCACGCUGGCGGCGUGCCUAAUACCUGCCAGUCGAGCGAACAGACGAGGAGCUUGCUCCUCUGACGUUAGCGGCGGACGGGUGAGUAACACGUGGAUAACCUACCUAUAAGACUGGGAUAACUUCGGGAAACCGGAGCUAAUACCGGAUAACAUGUUGAACCGCAUGGUUCAACAGUGAAAGACGGUCUUGCUGUCGCUUAUAGAUGGAUCCGCGCCGCAUUAGCUAGUUGGUAAGGUAACGGCUUACCAAGGCAACGAUGCGUAGCCGACCUGAGAGGGUGAUCGGCCACACUGGAACUGAGACACGGUCCAGACUCCUACGGGAGGCAGCAGUAGGGAAUCUUCCGCAAUGGGCGAAAGCCUGACGGAGCAACGCCGCGUGAGUGAAGAAGGUCUUCGGAUCGUAAAACUCUGUUAUUAGGGAAGAACAAAUGUGUAAGUAACUAUGCACGUCUUGACGGUACCUAAUCAGAAAGCCACGGCUAACUACGUG